rnacentral:rRNA from 1 species
CACGUAGGGUGCGAGCGUUGUCCGGAAUUAUUGGGCGUAAAGAGCUCGUAGGCGGUGUGUCGCGUCGGCCGUGAAAACCUGCAGCUUAACUGUGGGCGUGCGGUCGAUACGGGCACCACUGGAGUUCGGCAGGGGAGACUGGAAUUCCUGGUGUAGCGGUGAAAUGACGCAGAUAUCAGGAGGAACACCGGUGGCGAAGGCGGGUCUCUGGGCCGAUACUGACGCUGAGGAGCGAAAGCGUGGGGAGCGAACAGG